rnacentral:lncRNA from 1 species
UCUCGUGAUUCCAUGGCUAGGCAAGGUGGUUCCUCACUGCUCCGCCUUGAGUCAUUCAGGUGGCUGCCUUGUGCUAGAGGUCAGCUGGAAUGUCAAAGAUGGCAGUUGCUGCUUGCUGUCAGUUAGGUCACUCAGGUCACCAUGUGACCUUUACUUCUUCAGUAGGCUAGACUGGCUUUCUUACCUGGAAGUGUCAGGGCAGUAUUCCAAGAUCACAAAGGCAGAAGCUGCAAGACCUCUUAAGGUCUGGACACCUGAACUCACACAUCACUUCUGCUACGUUCUAAGUCACAAGGCCAGCCCAUCUGCAAAGGAGCAGAAAAAUAAACUCCACCUCUGGAAGGGAGAAGCAGCAAAAUCAUAUUGCAAAGAGGCAUGCUUCCUGGGAUGGGAGGAAUUUGAGGUCAUUAACCAUCUACCACACAAGAUGUACAAAGGAAAUGAGGCGGUGAAGGAAAGAGUUCUGCAUGCUGUGUUAUUUUCUGAGAAGACAGAGAUUGUGGAGAAAGGAAUCACAAUUUAGCCAGUGUACUAGCGAACACUGAAGCAGGGCGUCAGGCUGCAGGUCCUUCAGUGGCACCUCCUCCCCCAUGCAUCAAAUUUUCUGUGCCCAUCACGCAGCUGAUGUGUGGACAACAGUCCCCCUGGGCAGUCAAUUGGAAGCCAAAGCUGUGAAUUAUAACCGUAGCCUAAUUAGUGCUCUGCCGUUGGACCUACUGAAUAUCAGAUACCAAGACUAAAGGAACCCUCCCUCCAAGAGUCCCGGCAACCUAUCUCAUGACUUAUUCAGCAGGUGCCUCCAUCUUGGCUUUCGAUUGUAUGACUUUGGAGAGACUCUUGGGUUCUGCUGUGGAGGUGAAUUUGCUGCAGCUGGUGCCUCCAAUUUGCCUGCAUUGUUGACGCUGUCCAGAUGGCUCAUGAGGGAGAAGACCUCCAAUCUGUUCUUGAGAUGGGUUCACAUAUUAGGAAGGAAUGAAAAUUAUCCAGCAUGGGAAGCCAGGAGCAGAGCAAGUCAGACUGAGGAGCUGUUUGUUUUUAACUCACAGGUUCCUGUUUCCUACCUGAGGACCUUGCUUUGGGAAGCAGUUCAGAAAUGGUUGAGCGGUUCUGAGCUCCCGAAAUAAGAAACCCUCUCCCAGCUCAGGUGCAAGUGACUAGCAGCCAGAUUUUUUGUUGCUCUUGUUUAAUUCCUCUUCGCCAUUUGGGGCCCUGCCUUCCUUCUCCAUCUCACCGUUGCCUGGGUCUGUACACAAACAGAAAACUUCCAUCACAAUACAGAAGAAAAGAUAUGAGGAAACUCCUAGAAGGUACUUCAGUUUUUCAACUAAAGGAAACUUUGCAUCAGGCAUUCUCCACGGCACCUCUCAACAAACUCCCGCCAGCUGAAAGUGGAUGUGUCUGGCCUUCAGGCUGAAGCAGAGCCCUGUGUCUGUGGCAGGUCACCGCAUCUUUCAGGCUGCCAUUAGCGACCUGCGUUCCAGAGAGAUGGAAUAAGCCAUCUGAGUCACCUGAGCCCCAGCUGUUUCUGAAAAUCGUGCUCAGUGACAUACCAGAAGGACGGGUACCUUGAACUUGGAAGGAAACCUUUAUUUCACUACUACUACAAUCCUCAGAAAUGCUGCUCUUGUGAAGAGCCAAAGCUGCCAGCACCUUAUGUUACUAUUUGUGUUUAUGUGGAGUUUUGCUGAAGUGCAGUCUUUGGUUUCCACUAUGAGCGCUCCCAGAGCAUCCUGUCCACAGGACGGGAAAGCGCCCAAUUGCGAAUUGGGAGCCAAAAGUGACUACAAUUCCCAGAAGCACCUGCCGGACACGCUGGAACCACCUGCAGGAACCACUGGAAUCACCCAUCGGACACGACGGAACCACCUGACUCAUGGGCCAGAAGCACCAUCCGGACACACCAGGACCACCUGACUGACACGCCAGAACAUAUUUAAUUGAGAACUUUCAUCUUUUCACUUAAAGGAAGCACUUCACGGCUUCUCUUUGGCGUAUCUGAACUGCCCUCAUCACUACACUUGCACUUUCGGGCCAUUAUUAAGGAAAAUAAUGGUGACUUGGACACAAGCACUGCCUACUGCGACAGUUGAUCUGAUAACAGAGACGGCUACUAAGCGACUGAAAGGAAUAUCAACUGGAGCACAAUCUAGAAUCACACCAGGAGUAUGUGCAGGUUUCUGACAAAGGAGUUUUGAAG